AUGAUUUUGCUUUGGGUGCAUAAUGAAUGAUAUUAAGUUCUGUGCAACAAAAAGGUUUUACAAAACAACCCCCGCUAUAGCACCCGUCUGACAUUCUUUCAACAAAUACCUGACUGAGGUUCUUCAGCAAAUACUGUGUGUGUGUGUGUGUGUGUGUGUGUGUAACACACUUAAGCAAUGCAUAAACAUCUAAACCACAUACUCUGCAAAAGUGGCUUUGGUGGGCAUGCAGGAAAUACCUGAAGUAUUUUUGUAUUUUACUAUUUGGAUCUUUUGAAUAUUUUGGUCACACUUCACAUAGUUUCAUUCCUAGGCAAAAAAAAAUUUCAAGUAGCUAUUAUAAAGCUAAGUACUGUACAUAAAUAUGCAUGAGAGGUCAUUAUUGCCAUGAGAUGAUGCUUAAAAGGUUCAAGUGUCUCUUACUAAGAUUUUUCUACUUGCUCUAUGACAGCAGGGUGAAUACUUCAAAUGUUCAUUCACAUCCCCAAGAUCUGAUUUUUCUUUAGGUUUUAUCCCUUGUAUUUGUGCAGUGGGGACUCCUAAUUAUCAAAUUUUAGCUCCCAGAGGUCCCUGCUUGGAAUCAGCCAAUGACAUGCCAAGUCUUCUGUCUAUAUUUAGUGCUGGAUGCCACCAGUGUAAUUUGUUUGUACUGCAUUAGAGCUUUUCUGCAGAACAGGGCCUAACCCUACUCUGUUCUCUAGAAGAUUGAUUCCCCAGCUAGUGUCUGCAACCUUUGCUUUAAUUCUCAGCAAAAGUAGACUUUGGAGUAAAUCAAAUGCCAUCAGAUCCUCCUGUCUACAAAAGUGUGUGGCUCUCAGCCAAAAGUCUGUCCACUGUCUUUAUGGUUUCUAUUCAACUUCUCUCUGUCAUAGGUAUCACCCACCUUCCAUGCUACUGCUGUGGAGGGAAGUGGAGCACAGUGUCUAUGUCAGUAUUGCUUGCACAGUUCUUUAUUCAUUUUGCAAGCAUAAUACAAAAGCAAAAAAUAGAAUGCAAUGAGCAAGACAUUUAAAUUACUACAACCACCAUGAACACUGACAUCAGGACAAAGGAAUGCAAACAUACAAGGCUAUUGCUUUCUGAUGUAGCUUCAGUUUUCUUUCUGUGCUUGAACACAGCAGAGGCCCAGCAUAAAAUCAGUGUAUAUUUAUUACAAAUGAAUAGCCUGAUUUCCCCCCUGGUUCUGAACACCCACAUCUCCCUCUAACUGCAGUGGGAGCUGCAAGUGUUUCUCUUCUCUGAAUGUUGGGUGAAUACAUUUUAUAGACUAUUUUUCAGUAAUGACAUCAUGCCUGAGACAUGUUACAGCACAACCACAUUAUUGUGAUUCCAAAUUUCAUAGUGAAUUUUCUUUCCAUUUCAUUACCACCAUAAAGCUUUUUUUCCCCUAUUUUCCCCAUUAGAGCUGUGUUUCAUAAUUCUUCCUACUGCACAAACCUUUCCAAAGGACUGUCUAAGCCAAGGCUUUUUUCCGUUUGUGCGGGAGAAGUUUGAAAUGCAGAUUCUCCCCCUUUGACAUAUUAGGAAAUCUGCCUCCAACACCCAGUGUAACAUGCUGAGGGUGAAUAAGCUGUCCCCAGCUGAUGCUGUUCCUUUUCCUUCAAGUCAAGUUAGUCAUAUCCUCUGUUACAGCUGGAGGACUAGUAAAUAAUUAACCCCAUGGAGCCAGCAGGUCCUUAGUUCUUGCUUGUAGCACUAAUUCGUUAGUGUGUCACACUGGAAAACCCUGUUCCUAGAACACCAAAUAUUUAAAGUUAAAUCUAUAAAUCCCUUAUGUCUUAGACUAAUUUUUGCUCAUGCUUUGAUGCUUGCUCAUUUAGUGCCACAGUAUGCAUUCCUUCAGUGUUGCUGAUUCCUGAGCUUUGGCUUAUCCUGGAAGUAUAGUGCCUCUUACCCCUGAUUAUCUGUCCAUCUCUUGACUUAUUGACUUUGAAUUGAUCUUUAUUGAUUUAGUAAAAAGACAUUUAUCUUUGUUUCCAUUUCCAAGAACAACGUGUGCUUGUGUUACAGGACUCUUGAUUGCAGGGUUAUCUCCAGUGUCAUGGCCUUCAUCUGUGAUAAAUAUUCUACUGAUUAUUUUGUAUGACUAAUCCCCUUUGAAGAGACCACUCAGUGAGCUGAAAAGUUACACUGCUGACAUUAUUUUAAGUUAUUUUGCACUUAGCUAAUGAACACACCCAUUCAUUCAAGACACUGCCAGCUUGGACCUGUUCCUCUCUGGUAAGGAAGGACAUCAUCAUCAAGCCAAUAAAUCCAUUCAUAUAACAGAAAUAGCAGUACUCAAUAGCAGGCUUGUCAAUCUAGCUGAAUUAAAGGUGCAGUGAAGAUUUUAUAGCAGCGACUAGGAGCAGCCAGAGAAAGACAAAGUGACAGCUUCCUGGGCUUUUAAACCAGGUGUUAGUGGAUGAGGCAGAAUUUGUCUUAAGACUACAAACGUUUGGAAAGAGAGGAAAUGACAUGAACAACAUGAAGCAGCUCACUUCCUCUGCACAAGGGCAGUUUGGUUUGCAAAAGAGCUGCGGGGGAAAAUGUUGCAUAUGCAGCAAAAAUGGCAAUAGAUGCUUUUGUACAAGCUUUGCAAGAAAAAAAAAAAAUUCCUCCCUCCUCCCUAAAACCAACUUUGUGCCUGAGCCCUAGGAGUGUUGUUUUCAUCUGCUGAGCUAUUAGAUGCCUAACUGUCAUAUCAGAGAACAAACCUGAUCAUGUUGUUCACUGCUGCUCUUUUAAAAUGCCAUUAUGGAGCAGUGCUCCGGACAGCGUGGGAGCUCCUGUUUGAGCACUCGGUGCAUUUUGGGGAAAUGAAAUUCUGACUCCCAAAAAUAAAAAGGGGAAAUGAAUCUGACCAGCUUUAAAUUGAUUUAGUUUUCUGCUUGUCUGUGGAAUGUAUAAGUUACCAAUUCCAGCUGCCUUUUUUUUUUUUUUUUUUUAAAGUAGGAUAACAUUGUGGGACUGAUCUGCCUGUGUCUGACAACUGUUAUCAACCUCUAGGAACCUCAAGAUAGAAAAAUAAACGAUACAAAGAAUCAUGUAAUGGGAUUACAGAGACCUCACAAUUAUGUCAUUAGUUUUUCCUUGUGACUCACACUCUACAAGGUACACUUCAGAAUCACCUGAAAUGGCUCCUGUGGCACCUCUUUUUGAAGCACCAUUGCAGCCAGUGCAAAGGAUUCUGGGACAUAGAUGAGAACGAAUGCGACAGAGCAAAAACAAUAAUACUCUUUUGAAAAAAUAAAGGACACGGGAAGGAUCUGGUGUGAAUUGAGCCAGUAACAGCUAUUUUGAUGGGCGUGCCAAAAUACUGCUUUUUUGCCUGUACUACAAACUAACCUGUAUGUUCCUUCACAUACAGUCUGGAUACUAUAUUUUAGCAGGCAUUUAUUAAUUUCGUGGUAAAUACAGUGUCACUACAUCUUCAUUCAGUUCCUGAUUAGUUGAGUAGUUUAUGAGGUGAGGCAGUUUGCAACUACUAUAAAAUCCUGAUAUUUUCAAUAACUUCUUAUGACUGUUAUAAAAUAUCCUAUGUUAUAAAAUAAAUUUGGGGUAAAUCCUGCAUAAUAAUAAAGCAUAGGCAACAUUCCCAUUGAAGUCAAUGACUGUUUUGCAGAGUAAAAACUGCAGGAUUUAGUCCUGUAGCUGUUAAAAGUGUAUUGUUGUCUUCAUUUUCUAAUGUGGGUGCAGAACAAUUCUUCACAUGGUGAUAUAUAUUUUUUCAAGAGGCCACUGCUCCAGUGAGCUUGCAGCACAGAGGAAAUAAAAUGGCUAGUAAGACAAAAGUAGAAAGGUGCAGUUAAUUGGGCACCAGUCUAGAAGGUGGGACCCAUUUGCCCUUGGGUCUAUUCCUGGUAUUGCCAUUGGCUCAGUGCGUGUCCUUGGGCCAGUCCCUUUACUUCUCUUUAACUCUGUUUCUCCAUCUUACAGAUGGGAAAAUAUAUAACAAAGAUAAUUUACCCACCUCUGCAAAGUCCUUUGAGAUCUGUGGAUGACAAAAUGCUACAUAAAGACUAUGGAGCAUUAGUAAACAAACUUGAGUGAUAUUUAUUUUCAUAAUUGUGUUCUUCAUGUGGCAGUUGCAUGUAAAACAUACCACAUCAAAAUGUCUUAAAAAUAAGGGCUGAUGUCAUAAGUUUAAAAAGUGAAAUCUUGAGAGUAAAAAUGGGAACGAACAGACCAUAAAUAGACAAUAAUACUAAAAAAUGAAAAAUAUCACAUAUUACAAUUUUUUCUCUCAAAUGACACUUCUUAUGAACUAGUUUAUGUCAAUGGAAAAUAUUCCCCAUUACUUCAAUUCCUGCACAAGCGUUUAAUCUGUUAGAUUUUGCUCUAACAAUCAGAGGUCACUUUGUUGAGCUAGAGCUGCAACUAGAAUUUCUCUCCUACUCCCAACUAACAGGCUCGAUUGUUAUCUCAGAAAUUAUACUCACGGAUACUGACCUAAUGAGUAACAAGUAGUGAGACACUCAGCUUCCAAAUAAAAAGAAAGGUCCCCAAAUAGGAAUGAGUUACUGUACAUGCCACUGGAGAUGAAUGACAUGCAGUGGAGUUCUAGCAGUGCAUCUCCCAAGUGCAUAACUUAAGUUGUUGAUGGCAAGAUAAGUCAUUGUGAUCUACAAAGUGCUGGUGUUUAGUACACAGUAUUUAUAUUUUAUGAAUGUUAACAAGCAAGAAGCCCUGCACGAGCGAGUAGUUAUGAACUCAAAAGGCUUCGUGAGAUGUUUUCCUCAGAGGACUCAUUAAUGUGGGCUUUUAAUGGAGUACUUCCAUAUCUGAAUCUUUAACUGUAGCUAUAAAUAGGGUUUAUAAGUACUUGACAGUGUGUGGUGAAGCAGUGUUAGCAAUGCUUGCCCUCCCUCUCUGCAAGUUUCAUUUGCAAAGGGGAAUUAAAAUGUUUAACAACUUGUUUAAACAUAUAUACAGCCUAAUAAUACUGCACUUCUGGUGUGCCUGUCAUCUGAGCAUCCCAAAAUGCUUUACCAAACCUAAAAUAAUUAAGUCUCACAAACACCCAUAUGAGAUAGCUAUUAUCCCCAUUUUUCUGAUCAAGAAACUGAGGCACAGAGAUCAAGUGAUUUGCCAAAGGUCAUGCAGCCAAUCACUGGCAAAACACCAAGUAGCUCUAAUAAUCUGCUCUGACCUUUAAACACACAAGGAAUAAAUACUGCUGUCAAUUACAAUUGUUGUUUGCAGUGUUGUUGUGGUGUCGGUCCCAGGAUAUUAGUGAGACAAGGUGGAUGAGGUAUAUCUUUUAUUGGACCAACUUCUAUUGGUGAGAGAGACAAGCUGUCUAAUUACACUGAAGUAAAUGGGAUUACUCUGGAUUGGCAUUGUUGUAAGUGACUGCAGCAUUUCCCCUUUCUGCCUUUGCACAUUGGGACUCUGUACUGUGACAUGUCACAUUCUGAAUGGACAAGACAGACGUCAACUUUUGUUGUUAGUGAUGGUGGUUUGUUUAGAAUUACAACUUUUUGUUGUUGUUUACCAACCAACAUGAAACAACCAAAAUAUACUUCCCCCAGCCUCAGCAAAGAGCCAGCAAAAUUACUCAGCUUAAUAUACUCGACAGGAGUGUUGUUUUAUGAUGAUAUAGUAAAAUUCGCUGGAGGAGCACAUCCUUUAAUAAAUCAACAUAAUAUUAUCCAUAGCAAACCCGUGGCACUGGCGGAUCUCUUCUUUUGUCUGACCAGUGGGGUGUGUAUCUACUCAAUAUACCGGCUCUGUAUCAGCAGUUUUCCCCCCGUUUUUUGAGAUACAGGUGGUCAGUCAUCACAAAUCUAACUGUCAGUAUUUUAAGUGUUGAUGUUUCAAAGUGUCUGCUUGAUGCUUUGCCACAAUAUGAAGGCUCAAGAGGUAAAGAUCCUCGUCUUUUCUUUCCUAACCUGGAUUUCAAUGCUAUUUUCUUCUAAUCUAUUUAAAGGGACUCUAGAAAGCUCCUUAGAAUCCCAUGCAGCAAUUCCCUAGGAUGCCAUUUGUAGGUGAAUACAGACACACAUGUAUGGGCCUGACUCGGUGCUAUAUUACUCCAGUUGCAUGCCAGUGUAACUCCAUCAAAAUUUAAAAUGUCUUACAGCUGGAGUAACACAGUGAUGCAUCGACCCAUAUAUGUAUAUCUGGAGUUGAUGAGACAUAAAUAGCUCUUGCAGCCUCACUGGGAGAUGCUUUUUAUAUCUAGCUAAAAAGCAACAUUAAGUGUGGGUCCUCAGUAACUUCUUUGGUCCACUAUGGGGGAUGUGAAUAAAAGGUACUGGCUGGGAUGCUGGGCCUCAGCAGAUUGACAGUAUCCUUGGGGUCCCUUUAUAAUGCUCAAAGGAAACGUGUGAUGUUCUCUGACUGACAUCUAGCUCUUAUUAGGAUUUUACACUAGUAACACUGAUUUGGCUCAUCUCUGCUGUGACUGCAAUUGAGUUUUCCACAUGCAUCUAGCCUGAAUUUAUUUUAACUGGGCUCCCUGGUUAGAAGCACAAAGAGCACCAUCUUCCAACUAUCCUAAUGACUGGCUGAGAUCAGCACUUUGAUGAAGGACAACUGCUUGAAUCUGAAUCUGGGCAUGAUAGAGCUAAAAUCAGUGGGAAGAUGAAACCAUGCUGAAGAGCUAGCAUCCUUCAUCCCAUCACCUGAAAUGGAGAGUGUCUACCCUCAGAUAAUCAAAACAGUCUACAACCAGAGGAUUCCUUUGGAUUCCUCAGUGUUGCAGGCAUAGGCGCUGACUCCGUGGGUGCUCCGGGACUGGAGCACCCAUGGGGAAAAAUUGGUGGGUGCUCUGCACCCACUGGCAGCUCCUCGCCCCAGCUCACCUCCGACUCCUCCCCUGAGUG